GGACUUGAAAUUCUGGUAAAUUAUACAGAAAAAGAGGAUUGAAACUGGUCAUGCGCUUAAACAUGAGGAUGGAAAAAAAAGGGUUCUUAGCCUCGCACUAUGGAGCACAUGCAGAUGUUCUUAUGCAUUGUAUCGGCGAUAUAGUCUUCCCCCUCCCCCAGGGGAUUGCUGGGAAAGUUCACUUGCCCGGGAGCACACACCUCAGCCCUGUUAGAAAGGGUAGCACAGGGAUGUUGUCUGCCCUAGACAAGCGGGGACACAGAGGAAGCUGUCUCCACUCUCGUCUCAUUGUUCUGGAGGCGUUAAUCUGUCAGGGAUCUGCUGGGAAUCAGGUGGGAAUCUACUCGGCCCUGUUGAAUGUUUAUUGGCUGGUCCGUUGCAGAAAAGAGAACAUUUGGACGUCUUCACCCUGUACCCCUCUGCUGCACCAUCCUGCCCCCGCCUCUUGAAGAUGCUCUGAUGAUAAAACUAUUUCUUGUUUGUCUCCGCUGCUUCGUUUGGAGAUGAGCACAUCCGUUUUGUCUUCUCGUCUCGCCCUUUUUCUCCUGAAGCCGCAGUCCAAGACAAAUCUUAAAUAUGCUUUUAGUCAUGCUAACAUGAGGAUGUUUGGAAACUUUUCACCACCAGUUGUGGUGACCUCGGGGUUUGCUCGCUGCCAGAGGUCAGCCAACAAUAAAACGGAAGCAACAAGUAAAAUAAUCAAAGUCUUUUUCCUGAGAACAUCCAUAGAGUUGUAUUUUCACUCAGGGGACUCAGAGGAUACAGCGAUACAAAUGUGUGAUAUCAUGGACAUUGUUUAAGGCUUCAAAUCUUUGGCAUCGGGGCCCUGGCAAAGAGAGAAAAUGGCCACAGUUUUAAAGAUAAUACAAUUCAGUUUAAACAAUAUAUCAGGUUGACAACAAACAUGUAAAACUUAACCAAGGGAACAGUUUUGUCAAAGUCUGAGCUGCCUUUUUUCAUGCUUUAACUCUUCAUGUUUCUUUUGGUCUUGAAUCUUAUUGAAUUUUACUUUUCAGGACACGCCGGCUGAAGAUAUGAGUCUGCUUGCUUAGCCGCAAUACUUUCUGACUAUGCUUAACUUUUCAUUAUUGUAAAUGUCUUAAUAUGGGUUCAGAGAUGCUAGCAACUUUCAGGAUUAAAUACUGAACCCAGUUAGCUGCCUACAUUCAACCCUUAUUGCCAGUUAAAGCUUAGCUGCUUUAAUCUGUGGCUUUAUAGUUACUGAGACAUAAGAGUCGUAUUGAAGAGGAAAGCCAAUCAGCA